UCCCUGGUGGUCCAGUGGUUAAGAAUCUGCCUUGAAAUGCAGGGGACAUGGGUUCGAUCCCUAUUCAGGGAA
rnacentral:tRNA from 1 species